CGUACUUAUUGUGCACUUCAUCUCUGUUACUAAUUCUCUUUCACACCGUCAUACAUAUUUUAUUUCAAUCGAUGUUCCUUUUUCAGGCAAGCAUGCUUUGGGGAUCUUCCCUCUUCCGCUUCCUCUUUCAAUUUCGUGGAUUCUUUUAUCGUGUCUUUAGAUGCUUUACAACUGCAUAUGUGACGAUUAUGACGAAUCUUUGGAUCGAACACACAGCAAAUAGGUUCGAGCCUGAUACGAGUAGUAGGUGAUUCUUGCUUUGAGUUGGAGUUCAUUGAAGUCCUUGGAGAUAGCUGCUUGGUUGUUCCGUAGCAUUCAUACUUCUCUAUCUUUUAUUUAUCGCAUGUCCUUACUUUUCGGAUAGUUGUAGUACUCAUAUCUUCAUCAUGUUAUU